UACGGAGGAUGCAAGCGUUAUCCGGAUUUAUUGGGUUUAAAGGGUGCGUAGGCGGAUAUGUAAGUCAGUGGUGAAACUCACAGGCUCAACCUGUGCCGUGCCGUUGAAACUGUGUAUCUGGAAUGCGGAUGCUGUGGGAGGAAUGUGUAGUGUAGCGGUGAAAUGCAUAGAUAUUACACAGAACACCGAUUGCGAAGGCAUCUCACAAAGCCGUUAUUGACGCUGAGGCACGAAAGUGUGGGGAUCAAA
rnacentral:rRNA from 1 species